rnacentral:rRNA from 1 species
CUUGCUUCUCUUGAGAGCGGCGGACGGGUGAGUAAUGCCUAGGAAUCUGCCUGGUAGUGGGGGAUAACGUCCGGAAACGGACGCUAAUACCGCAUACGUCCUACGGGAGAAAGCAGGGGGACCUUCGGGCCUUGCGCUAUCAGAUGAGCCUAGGUCGGAUUAGCUAGUUGGUGGGGUAAUGGCUCACCAAGGCGACGAUCCGUAACUGGUCUGAGAGGAUGAUCAGUCACACUGGAACUGAGACACGGUCCAGACUCCUACGGGAGGCAGCAGUGGGGAAUAUUGGACAAUGGGCGAAAGCCUGAUCCAGCCAUGCCGCGUGUGUGAAGAAGGUCUUCGGAUUGUAAAGCACUUUAAGUUGGGAGGAAGGGCAGUAAAUUAAUACUUUGCUGUUUUGACGUUACCGACAGAAUAAGCACCGGCUAACUCUGUGCCAGCAGCCGCGGUAAUACAGAGGGUGCAAGCGUUAAUCGGAAUUACUGGGCGUAAAGCGCGCGUAGGUGGUUCGUUAAGUUGGAUGUGAAAUCCCCGGGCUCAACCUGGGAACUGCAUUCAAAACUGACGAGCUAGAGUAUGGUAGAGGGUGGUGGAAUUUCCUGUGUAGCGGUGAAAUGCGUAGAUAUAGGAAGGAACACCAGUGGCGAAGGCGACCACCUGGACUGAUACUGACACUGAGGUGCGAAAGCGUGGGGAGCAAACAGGAUUAGAUACCCUGGUAGUCCACGCCGUAAACGAUGUCAACUAGCCGUUGGGAGCCUUGAGCUCUUAGUUGGCGCAGCUAACGCAUUAAGUUUGACCGCCUGGGG